rnacentral:misc_RNA from 1 species
AAGUCGUAACAAGGUUUCCGUAGGUGAACCUGCGGAAGGAUCAUUAUUACGUAUCCACGUAUAAACCAAAUGUGAAUUGUUUUCCGCUCUUUGUCGAGGUUAAUGGCUUGGUUGCGCUACGUUCCAUGUUAGUUGGAACAGUAAUCAAGUCGCCACCUUGUGUGGAACUUUGACAUUGAGUUCGGUUAUCACUAACAUCAAUUUUUAUUAACCUUUUGUACUUAACUUCGAACUAACUAUGUUUCGCGUUUCGUGGACUCUUCGGAGCUCAUGGACCCGAAAUCUAUUUACGUAACUUGAACAACUCUUAGCAACGGAUAUCUUGGCUCUC